AAGCUGAACCUCUAAUGAGCCAUAAUGGCUCAUUAUUGUGUGGAUGCAUUUACUUCUUCAUAAGUUUUAUGAUGCAAAGUACCACAGUGGGCUUGUUCUAUGAGCAUUUAACAGGAAUCCCUCCUCACCUGGAAGAGCCAGCCACAGAGCUUUCUGGCACUGCUGCCCUCAGUCAGUGGCCACCAGUGCCAUGUUGCUGACAGUGCCACUCUGCAGGCUGGUUUGAUGUGCCAGACAUCCAUGUGCAUCCCAGCUGCUCCCUCCUGCUGCUGCCCCUGGACACAGCUGGGCCAGUCCUGCUUGUACAAGCCAUGCCAUCAAUUUGCUGAGGACAGCCCCAGGGUGGUGCACUUGGAAGGAAACCCAGCCUGCCUUCACUGCUGCUUCCCUCCUCCUCAAAGGGGAGUGAGCCAAUCGUCAGUAUCAGGACUGGAAGGAGGAAAGAGCUCCCUUUUCCCCACUCAGGAGGAGGGAGUGAAAGGGGAAGGAGUUUGUUCUGAUUACUCCCGUGUGGGAGAGACCUGCAGCUCCAGCUCACCUUGCUAACACUCUGUCAGUGUUGACAUCUACACAACUCCUCAGAGGUGGUUUUUCAUAAGUCAUACUUCCAAAUACAAAUAAUUUUAAAUAGUUCUGUGGAUUGCUGAGAAUUUUAAGGCCUUUGAAGCCACAUACCAGCCCUGUCUCACAGCUCCCCCAGGCAGCCUGGUGUGGUCCUCAGGCACUCUGGGGUGAGGAAGGGGCAGUUCCUGACAUCCUGUUGGGUUGGUGCUUCCAGAUUCCACAGGAGAGGUCUCUAAGGCAUGGUGACUGUGUGUUUGCAGGGCGGGGAAACUCCUACCCCUGCAUCAAAAUCCAGCUGUGCAACAAGAAAGGAAUGGAUAGAUUAGGCAGCCCAAAAGUUUUCUUUUGGUUAAAUAUGUUCUGGUUCUCUUCUCUGGGGGAUGUCACAAGGAAGUGCAGAGCACUUUCUCUCAAAUGAAUAUUCAAUAAAAUUGUUUGGUGGUG